UACGGGGGGGGCAAGCGUUGUUCGGAAUUACUGGGCGUAAAGGGCUCGUAGGCGGCCAACUAAGUCGGACGUGAAAUCCCCGGGCUCAACCCGGGAACUGCGUCCGAUACUGGGGGGCUUGAAUCCGGGAGAGGGAUGUGGAAUUCCAGGUGUAGCGGUGAAAUGCGUAGAUAUCUGGAGGAACACCGGUGGCGAAGGCGGCAUCCUGGACCGGUAUUGACGCUGAGGCGCGAAAGCCAGGGGAGCAAACGGG
rnacentral:rRNA from 1 species